UUUAUUUUUUUUUUUUUAUCUAUGAACAAUAUUCCUACCAGAAAUCGUUGAAAGUAAAUAACCCGGGAGAAAAACGGGAACAUUUACGUACGCGUAUAAAAGACACUCGCUUUCCGUUAGCAACGGUUUAUACGAUACAAAUUAAACUUCCAUAUAUGUCCUCAAUAGACCUUCCCAACUCCUCACCUACAACAACGGUCGUAGCCCGCUCGUCGUGCAAAGUAUGUCCGUCUUUUAUUUUAUUUUUUCCAAAUCGGAAAUCAUAAUCACAAUACUAUGAUAAUAAUUAAUAAGUAAUAGGCUCGGAAGUUAUUGGAGCUAAAAAAGACAAAAUGUGCACGAAAACAUUUUUAAAUAUACAUAUAAAAAUGUAAUAAACGUGCAAAAGAUUACCCAAAGUUUAUUAUUCAAAAACAUUUAAUGUCGGGUAUACUGUCAUUAUUUAUGUGCACGAAAAAUAUGAAGAUCAAAUAAGAAAUAACAACGGACAAUCAACGGAUAAAUGAUAUUCAAUAGUAAUUAAAAUACAUUGGUCGAGAAAGGAACGAAACCGAUGAAACGCAUGCACGUUUUCUCUAAAACUAACGAAACGUGCGUUUUGAAUGUCCGAUUUCCAAACUCUCCGUUGUAGCGAACGAAUUGCCGGCUUGGUCCGCCAAGAAUCCAGCGCACGCGGAAAAAUAUGCAACUCCUAUAUAACUCCCGGGCCUCACAAUCGUGAAAAACGGUUUUUAUUUUCUUCUUCUUUUUAACAAGCUCAGCUGGCCGCGCAGGACCGCCGCCACCGCUGACAUUCAUUCCGCGGGUCUCUGUCGUUCUAUCGUUUACAAUUCGCGCAUUUUCACGGGCCGUCGUUGGACGUUUCUUCGUCUGCCGCGUUUUCUCGUUCGGGGCCGCCCUUCCUACGGGUCGUUCGUCCCGCGACCGUUCCUGCGGCGUCUUUCGAUUUCGGGCGAUUUCAACACCCGCCCGUGUAACACGGUCACAGAAUGUCCAAUUACCCGCGUCGCGCGAUUGCGAUAACGCGAUAGUAUCACGCAACGUCGUGAUAACAACGAUGACAACG